GGAUUAGAUACCCUGGUAGUCCACGCUGUAAACGAUGAGUACUAGCUGUUGGAUCUGGUGUAAAAGAUUUAGUGGCGCAGCUAACGCGUUAAGUACUCCGCCUGGGGACUACGGCCGCAAGGUUAAAACUCAAAGGAAUUGACGGGGACCCGCACAAGCGGUGGAGCAUGUGGUUUAAUUCGAUGCAACGCGAAGAACCUUACCUGCCCUUGACAUCCAUAGAAGAUCUGAGAGAUUGGAUUGUGCCUUCGGGAACUAUGAGACAGGUGCUGCAUGGCUGUCGUCAGCUCGUGCC
rnacentral:rRNA from 1 species